GACCUGAUAGCACAAUUGGUUAGUGCAUCUCCUCAACUUACGUGAGUGAUGCUCUCUUAUGGAGAAGAUCCCCGUUCGAUCCGGGGUCAGGCCG